AUUGUCUGUUCAGCGUUAGUAUUUUCAAGUUUUAGCUCUAAAGUGCUGCAGACUCCUGAAUAAUUGCCUGUGAGCUUAUGUCUAUCACCUUUCUGUCUUCAGCCUCAACGAAGCAAUCCCUGUGCACUGGGACUGUUGCCUUGAAGGACAUCCCCUGUUAUCUCCCUGAAUGACACUGAUGUACACACGAGAGGAGCAAAUAUUUCCCAUGAGAGAACCUCAGAAGAAAACUCCAAACUUUAGGGAUUUUAACCUGACAGAGAACUUUCCAACAUGCUCCACAGAAAUGUUUCUUGGCUGCUUCUGUGGCUGCCUCUCUUGCUGGUGUUCACUGAGACAAAAUACACAUUUUUUACCCGAGGAGCCCAUUUUUUUUUUACCCAAGAAAUAAAAGAUGACACUAGAGGGCGGCCUGUUAAUGUAAUUCAAUAAUGAAGUUGCAGCGACUGCACGUGGAGAUGCAGCACUGUCCCCUGCUUGGAGCCAGGGCUGUGCCUGGAAGCAGGUCUGGGAACGCUGCCUCCUCCUGCUGAGGCAACCAGCACUGCCCCAAGACACGGAGAAUAUCCUGACUGGAAUACCAGAACCCAAAACAAUGACUGUUCCCAAGAAGUGUGAUUUUCCAGCAGACCCACGCGAGUGCGUUGUCUGAUGUGUUCAACACUCAGGCCUGCUCAGAGAAGGAUGUGGCAGGAGCUAUCCUGUCCAUUCUCCCGUGACAAACCCAUGUCCUGCUGCAAGCCACGGCCCCAACUUUGGCAGCUAAAGGACGGUGAUGCAGUUUUAGCUGCCUGCACUGCAGUUCUGUGAGCAUAGUCCCUGUAGGCAGCUCACUCUCAGGCUCUGCACAGCCUUCCCAUGACUGAGGAGGUCUCCUACCAUUCCACAGACAGGUUUCCUUGUGUCAAAUGAGGUUAAUAGCUGCAUGCAAUUUAAUUAAUUAAAGGCUGUGAAUAUUUUUAGAACACCAGACGUAAUAUGUGUCAGAAAUACCAGGUAUUAUCUGAGUAUGCGGUGCUGGCGUUAUCGAUAUUUACAUUUUGCACCGCCUGGAAACGAGGAUUUCCUGGUGGGAAGCUGCCAACAGCAAUGCUUUCCCCCCCCCCGAUUUAGAAUCUGUGUGUUAAGUGUGAGCCAGCAGGCACAAGUGAUGACAGGCAGAGGCAAGGCCAAGGUGACAAUACAUUGUCCACUGGUGACACUGGGGUUUGUCACACAGGGACCACACCACAGGCAUCCUCAAGAGGCUUUGAGUCUGUGAGCCUACAAAGGUAAUUCGGCACGUUCCCCAGAGAACAUUUUAAGCUGAACUUAGCUGAGACUUUCUUAUUGUCUGCAGCAGAAAUUGGCCUGGAGUUACAGAUGGAAAGAACUUAAAUAAGUGGCCGCUUUCCUGCAAGCUGAUGUUCCUUAGCAUUUAGCAAUAACGUGUCCUCGGUUUUUGCUAGAUUGCAAACGAGCAAUUAAUUCUUCAGCACUUGUGCAGAAUACUUUAAAAAUGGAAACAUGAAAGUCUUCUAUUAAAAUGAAGUUGAUAGUAUGCACCUGCCACUAAUGUACUGUACACUGUGUCUUCCACUCAUUAUAGUGAUGAUUUGGGUUGAGAUCAAGUGUCAUAUAGUGAAAAUCACUUCAACAUGUGCCUGUUCAUAUGCAUAAACUCCUGUGUACCAGAUGGCAAAAUAUAAUGACAUCUUAAACAGCUAAUUGCAUAAACCUUGUAAUGCAGAUAAUUGCUGAACCAAAGUAUGAGUUAAUAAUUUCCCACUGUAUUGCCUGGCUUGACACUAAUUCUAAAGGAAAGUUGUGACAAUUCUAACGCACUAAAGUUCACCAAGCGGUAAUUAAAACUAGCACUUAAAAUCAUUCGACUUUCAAACCCUUAAUUACAAUUCAGUGGAAUCACUUUGUAGAAAUCUAACAUUUAUAGAUAGUUACAUGAUAGCUGAUAUUUCAUCAUCAUCCCUUUCAUGGCAGUGUUCUAAGGCAGGCUUCAGGAAGCACACAGCUCUUCCUGGAAGCUCAAGGUUGUACUGGUUUCUGUACCAGUGGUCACUGGGAAACACUUGGAAAACAGUGGUCAAGACUAGGAGUUUUUCCAUGGGCAGUGUGGAAAGUAGUCCUUUUUAAUCACCUGAUGAUAUAUAAUCGUAAAUAAGCAUCAAACCACUACAAUGAAGUGUAUCAGGUUUCACAGCAUGGGUUUAAGAAUUGAAUUGUUGCGGUUGGUUUGAUAACACAACAUACUGACCUCAAAGUUGGGCCUCUAACACAUCCUGAGCUGUUACCGUGUAUUGGAAAAGAAGAACAGGAAUAGAAUUAAUGAUGGUAAAUACAGUUUUAGGAGAAAUAAGCCUUAGCAGACAAAUGCAAUUUCUUUCUUUGAUGAGGCGCAUCAAAUAAUAUGAUGAAGGUAAAGACUGAAUGAUAAAGGUCAAUGAAGAGAUGUGAUAUUCAUUUUUUUAUGGAGAUUAGAAUUAACACUGUGUGAUAUUCCGAUCAAAAAGCAUUAGAAAUAGCAGCAGAGCAUGCACUAAUUAGAUUAGGAAUUGGCAAACAGCCUGUUAAAAAGUAGCUAUGAAUCAGGAGUUGUUAUCAAAUGGGAGAGUUUUACCAGGAUCAGCAUCAGGUCAGAUGCUAGUCAAUGUUUUCAUCAAGGAUUUGGAUGUAAACACUGUAAAUUCACAGCUGAUAAAUCUGAGGGUGACAGGAACACUGGUGGAGUGACAGACAGCGAUGAGAAUGACACUCCAAGUGAUCUCAGUUGCUUCAUGAGCUGAGCCCAUUCAAACACAAUUGCUUUUAAUACAGACAAUAUAAGAUUAUGCGGUUUCUAGUGCUCACACUUUUAAAAAAUUGUUGGAAAACUGGAGAGGGUGCAGAAAAGAGCCACAGAGAGGAUUUUAGGGCUGAAGAAAGUGCUUAAUGGUGAAAGACUUAAAGCGCUCAAUCUGCCUCGCUUACUCGAAAGAAGACUGGGACGUGACAGGAGUGUAAUGUGUAAGUAUUUAAGUAUCUAAGAGAUGUGUCUGGAAAUAUCUGCUGGAUACUGACAAUGUUUUUAAUCUUUCAGAGAGAAAUGGAUAAUUACAAGUUGUAGUCAAAGGAACUCAAGAGAGAAUUUAGGGGGCUUUAAUAGUUAGAGUAGAUGAAGGCUGAUUUUCAAGGCACAAGGU